UACGGAGGAUCCAAGCGUUAUCCGGAUUUAUUGGGUUUAAAGGGUGCGUAGGCGGCCUGUUAAGUCAGGGGUGAAAGACGGUAGCUCAACUAUCGCAGUGCCCUUGAUACUGAUGGGCUUGAAUGGACUAGAGGUAGGCGGAAUGAGACAAGUAGCGGUGAAAUGCAUAGAUAUGUCUCAGAACACCGAUUGCGAAGGCAGCUUACUAUGGUCUUAUUGACGCUGAGGCACGAAAGCGUGGGGAUCGAACAGGAUUAGAUACCCCGGUAGUCCACGCCCUAAACGAUGAAUACUCGCUGUUGGCGAUACACAGUCAGCGGCUAAGCGAAAGCGUUAAGUAUUCCACCUGGGGAGUACGCCCGCAAGGGUGAA
rnacentral:rRNA from 1 species